GAUGAACGCUAGCUACAGGCUUAACACAUGCAAGUCGAGGGGUAACAAGAGAAAAGCUUGCUUUUCUUGUUGACGACCGGCACACGGGUGAGUAACGCGUAUCCAACCUGCCUAUAACUAGGGAAUAACCUUGCGAAAGUAAGACUAAUACCCUAUGAUUUCCUUUGAUGACAUCAGAUUAGGAAUAAAGAUUUAUCGGUUAUAGAUGGGGAUGCGUCUGAUUAGCUUGUUGGCGGGGUAACGGCCCACCAAGGCAACGAUCAGUAGGGGUUCUGAGAGGAAGGUCCCCCACAUUGGAACUGAGACACGGUCCAAACUCCUACGGGAGGCAGCAGUGAGGAAUAUUGGUCAAUGGGCGGAAGCCUGAACCAGCCAAGUAGCGUGCAGGAUGACGGCCCUAUGGGUUGUAAACUGCUUUUAUACAGGAAUAAAGUUAGCCACGUGUGGUUAUCUGUAGGUACUGUAUGAAUAAGGACCGGCUAAUUCCGUGCCAGCCGCCGCGGUAA
rnacentral:rRNA from 1 species